CCUGAGCCUCCCAAAGUGCUGGGUUUACAGGCAUGAACCACCACGCCAGGCCAAGUCUUUAGUUUUUAUUGCUAUUACAGGAUUUUGAUUUCCAUUCUAUUUUCCAAAGUGAUUUUUGAUUCUUCCAUAGAAAAACUAUCAAUUCUUUAUAUUGGUUUGUAAUCUGAUGGUGUUUGAUGAUUUUUAGGUGCAUUCUUGGGGGUUCCAGGCAAUCACGUCUCCUACACACAGCUGUUGACACUGUGCCAGCCUCGCAGGACCCAGGCAGACAGUGCGUUUCCAGUGUUAGCAUUUGCUAACCUAAUUCUCCCUCACCCUAAAGUGGCUCCACUAUGGAGUGAUUCAUAACUGUGCCGAGGGACACAUGGAUUGUGAAUGCGGAGGGGCGGUGCAAGGAACCAGUCACCCAUCUCCCAGCUGAAACUGGCCAGCCCUUGGGGACCUGGGCUGCUGUCCCUACUCCUGGGUGAGGAACGUGCUGUGCUUUGGUGAGAAUCUCAAGCUGCAGAGGUGUGAGGAGGCCCUGGUCAUAUCACAAAUGCCACACCCUGCAUUUCACAAGAACACUGAAUUGUAAACAUCAAUUCCUUCAUUUCUUAAAGGUAACAUACAAACAAUGUAAAAAUUUAAACAACACAAAACACCAUGAUGAAAAAACCUCUUGCCAUCCAUGAGCCCCAUUUCCCUGGUCCCCUCCAGGGAGAACUGGUUUCUUUUAUACCCUUUAAAGAGCAGCCACUCAAGCUCAUGUGUGCAUAAACUAAACGUGGUCCAUCCCUACAAGGGGGUAUUAUUCAGCCAUCAAAGGAACAUGGUACCCAUCCAUGAUAUAGCACGGAUGAUCCUCAAAAAUAUGAUGCUAAGUAGAAGCCAGACAUAAAAGGCCACAUAUUGGAUGAUUCCAUUUAUAUGAAAUGUCCAGAAUAGGCAAAUCCAUAGAAACAGAAAGCAGAUUAGUGGUUGCUAGGGAAUGGGGGUGAGAGAGAGGGACUGAUUGUUCAUGGGUACAGGGUUUCUUUUCUGGAGGUGAUGAAAACAUUCUGGAAUUAUGAUUGUACAACCUUCUCAAUAUACUAAAAGCCACUGAAUUGUACACUUCAAAAUGGCAACACUUAUGGUAUAUGAAUUAUAUCUCGAUAAGAAACUUAAAAACAUCCAGAUAGUCUAUGAUAUACAAACAUGUAUGCAUACCCAUGAUGUGGCACUUUGAUGUGAAUGUUUUCCACAAAGAUAGGAAAGAAUAAAAGUUGUGUUUUAUAGAAAAGUAGAUUUAAAAUCUAAUCACUGGUCAAUAUAUAAGGAAUGAUCUCUUUUCAUUGUUAAAAGUAACAUUUUUUUAAAACAUAUAAAAACAAAACGAACCUCUAAGCAUUUCUCAAUCCAUGUUCUGAAAAAAUUGCAAUUAUGUGGAUGGCAUUGCUUUGGACAGAGAAAAUGAAACAGACAAAAUCCUUUGGUCAAACCACCUCACGG
rnacentral:lncRNA from 10 species